UACGAAGGGGGCUAGCGUUGCUCGGAAUUACUGGGCGUAAAGGGCGCGUAGGCGGACAUUUAAGUCAGAGGUGAAAGCCCAGGGCUCAACCUUGGAAUUGCCUUUGAUACUGGAUGUCUUGAGUUCGGGAGAGGUGAGUGGAAUGCCGAGUGUAGAGGUGAAAUUCGUAGAUAUUCGGCGGAACACCAGUGGCGAAGGCGACUCACUGGCCCGAUACUGACGCUGAGGCGCGAAAGCGUGGGGAGCAAACAGG
rnacentral:rRNA from 1 species